rnacentral:rRNA from 1 species
UUCCGGUUGAUCCUGCCGGACCCUACUGCUAUCGGGGUGGGACUAAGACAUGCGAGUCGAACGCGCCGGACGUGGCAUACGGCUCAGUAACACGUGGCCAACCUACCCUCGAGACAGGGACAACCCCGGGAAACUGGGGCUAAUCCCAGAUAGAUGAGAACUCCUGGAAUGGGUUCUCGUCCAAAGCUUCUUCGCUCAAGGAUGGGGCCGCGUCCGAUCAGGCUGUUGGUGAGGCAACGGCUCACCAAACCUUUAACCGGUACGGGCCGUGGGAGCGGGUGCCCGGAGAUGGGAACUGAGACAAGGUCCCAGGCCCUACGGGGCGCAGCAGUUACGAAAACUUGUCAAUGCACGAAAGUGUGAACGGGCUACCCCGAGUGCCGUCCGCUGAGGAUGGCUUUUCUCUGCUGUAAGAAAGCGGAGGAAUAAGGGGAGGGCAAGACUGGUGUCAGCCGCCGCGGUAAUACCAGCUCCCCGAGUGGUGGGGAUGAUUAUUUGGCCUAAAGCGUCCGUAGCCAGUUCGGCAAGUCUCCCGUUAAAUCCAACGAUCUAAUCGUUGGGCUGCGGGAGAUACUGCAGGGCUAGGGGGCGGAAGAAGCCGACGGUACUCGUGGGGUAGGGGUGAAAUCCUAUAAUCCCAAGAGGACCACCAGUGGCGAAGGCGGUCGGCUAGAACGCGCCCGACGGUGAGGGACGAAAGCUGGGGGAGCGAUCCGGAUUAGAUACCCGGGUAGUCCCAGCUGUAAACGAUGCAGGCUAGGUGUUAGCGUGACUACGAGUCACGCUAGUGCCGCAGGGAAGCCGUUAAGCCUGCCGCCUGGGAAGUACGGUCGCAAGACUGAAACUUAAAGGAAUUGGCGGGGGAGCACCACAAGGGGUGAAGCUUGCGGUUCAAUUGGAGUCAACGCCGGA